UGCAUUGGCGCAGUCUACACAUGCAGUCGAGCGGAACGAGUUAUCUUAACCUUCGGGGGAACGAUAACGGCGUCGAGCGGCGGACGGGUGAGUAAUGCCUAGGAAAUUGCCCUGAUGUGGGGGAUAACCAUUGGAAACGAUGGCUAAUACCGCAUGAUGCCUACGGGCCAAAGAGGGGGACCUUCGGGCCUCUCGCGUCAGGAUAUGCCUAGGUGGGAUUAGCUAGUUGGUGAGGUAAGGGCUCACCAAGGCGACGAUCCCUAGCUGGUCUGAGAGGAUGAUCAGCCACACUGGAACUGAGACACGGUCCAGACUCCUACGGGAGGCAGCAGUGGGGAAUAUUGCACAAUGGGCGCAAGCCUGAUGCAGCCAUGCCGCGUGUGUGAAGAAGGCCUUCGGGUUGUAAAGCACUUUCAGUCGUGAGGAAGGUGGUGGUGUUAAUAGCACUAUUAUUUGACGUUAGCGACAGAAGAAGCACCGGCUAACUCCGUGCCAGCAGCCGCGGUAAUACGGAGGGUGCGAGCGUUAAUCGGAAUUACUGGGCGUAAAGCGCAUGCAGGUGGUUUGUUAAGUCAGAUGUGAAAGCCCGGGGCUCAACCUCGGAAUUGCAUUUGAAACUGGCAGACUAGAGUACUGUAGAGGGGGGGUAGAAUUUCACGUGUAGCGGUGAAAUGCGUAGAGAUCUGAAGGAAUACCGGUGGCGAAGCGGCCCCCUGGACAGAUACUGACACUCAGAUGCGAAAGCGUGGGGAGCAAACAGGAUUAGAUACCCUGGUAGUCCACGCCGUAAACGAUGUCUACUUGGAGGUUGUGGCCUUGAGCCGUGGCUUUCGGAGCUAACGCGUUAAGUAGACCGCCUGGGGGAGUACGGUCGCAAGAUUAAAACUCAAAUGAAUUGACCGGGGGCCCGCACAAGCGGUGGAGCAUGUGGAUUAAUUCGAUGCAACGCGCAGAAACUUACCUACUCUUGACAUGCAGAAGAACUUUCCAGAGAUGGAUUGGGUGCCGUUCGGGACUCUGAAGACAAGGUGCUGCAUGGCUGUUCGUCAGCUCGAUGUUGGUGAAUGUUUCGGAAUGAAGGUGCCUUCAUCGAGCGCAACCGGUUAUGCUUGGUUUGCUAGGCGAGUACUGUUCAGGUAAGCUCAUGCCAGACUGGCCGGGGUGAUAAAACCGGAACGAAGGGUGGGGAUUCGAACCGUUCAGGUCGAUUCUAAUGGUUCCCUUUAUCAGUUUAAAG
rnacentral:rRNA from 1 species